rnacentral:rRNA from 1 species
UACGGGAGGCAGCAGUGAGGAAUAUUGGUCAAUGGGCGAGAGCCUGAACCAGCCAAGUCGCGUGAGGGAGGAAGGUCCUAAGGAUUGCAGACCUCUUUUGCCGGGGAGCAACGGCCGCCACGCGUGGCGGAAUGAGAGUACCCGGAGAAAAAGCAUCGGCUAACUCCGUGCCAUGCAGCCGCGGUAAU